UCCGGCAGAAGCCAUAUCACUCUGCAACUCACAACUGGCAGACCACUGAAGCUCAGCAGGUGUGAGCCUGGUCAGUACCUGGAUGGCAGACCUCCUGGGAAAAACUAAGGUUGCUGCUGGAA
rfam:Lepisosteus oculatus linkage group LG4, whole genome shotgun sequence.